rnacentral:rRNA from 1 species
UACAGAGGUCUCAAGCGUUGUUUCGGAUUCAUUGGGCGUAAAGGGUGCGUAGGUGGCAGGGUAAGUCGGAUGUGAAAUCCCGGGGCUCAACCUCGGAAACUGCAUUCGAUACUGCUUUGCUGGAGUACUGGAGAGGAGAUUGGAAUUUACGGUGUAGCAGUGAAAUGCGUAGAUAUCGUAAGGAAGACCAGUGGCGAAGGCGGAUCUCUGGACAGUUACUGACAACUG